AUUGAACGCUGGCGGCAUGCCUUACACAUGCAAGUCGAACGGCAGCACGGGAGCAAUCCUGGUGGCGAGUGGCGAACGGGUGAGUAAAGUAUCGGAACGUACCUUUCAGUGGGGGAUAACGUAGCGAAAGUUACGCUAAUACCGCAUAUUCUGUGAGCAGGAAAGCAGGGGAUCGCAAGGCCUUGCGCUGAUUGAGCGGCCGAUAUCAGAUUAGCUAGUUGGUGAGGUAAAGGCUCACCAAGGCGACGAUCUGUAGCGGGUCUGAGAGGAUGAUCCGCCACACUGGAACUGAGACACGGUCCAGACUCCUACGGGAGGCAGCAGUGGGGAAUUUUGGACAAUGGGCGCAAGCCUGAUCCAGCCAUGCCGCGUGAGUGAAGAAGGCCUCGGUUGUAAGCUCUUCGCCGGGAGAAUCGCAUGGUUAAUACCCUGUGCGGAUGACGGUACCGGC
rnacentral:rRNA from 1 species